rnacentral:rRNA from 1 species
GACGAACGCUGGCGGCGUGCCUAAUACAUGCAAGUCGAACGCAGUGGGGACGGGUGAGUAACACGUGGGUAACCUCCCAUCAGAGGGGAUAACACUUGGAAACAGGUGCUAAACCGAUACUGAUGGAUGGACACGCGGUGCAUGAGCUAGUUGGUGAGGUAACGGCUCACCAAGGCCACGAUGCAUAGCCGACCUGGUAGGGUGUGCGGCCACACUGGGACUGAGACAGUGCCCAGACUCCGACGGGAGGCAGCAGGAGGGAAGAUGCGGAAAGGGACGAAAUUCUGACCGAGCAACGCCGCGUGAGUGAAGAAGGUUUUCGGAUCGUAAAACUCUGUUGUUAUAGAAGCGGUCUCUAACCAGAAAGCCACGGCUAACUACGUGCCAGCAGCCGCGGUAAUUC